CACUGUGCAGGGGCAGCACCGAGGGGGCAGCUUCGGGGCACAGGCCCCCUAGCAAACAUUAUUAUAUGAGAAGAUAUAAAACAUAAAAUGUAUGCCCCUCGCCACAUUAGGUUUUGUGUUUAGACAUAGACCAAAGAAUUUAAAAAGAUCUUUAAAUAAGCAAAGUCAUCCUGAUGAACCUCUAGACCACAUUGUAUUUAGUGCUAAUUCGCUAAUGUUAGCAUGCUAACUGACCAAGCUGAUAAUCAUUAUAGCCAUUAGCUCAAGCGCUGCGUCUGCUGGGCUGGUUGUAGACUCUCGCCGAUCGAUAAUUGACAAAGGCUCUAAAGCUCGGAAGCUACACGUGGAACAGAAAGGGAAUUCCUGGAAACAAAGAAAACAAAUGAAGCAUCUUUGUUGACUCCAGCUUUUAAUAGCUCAACCUGAGCUGAACAGAGAACUGGUUCAGGUCGAUGAGGCUGCUAGCGUGCGGCGCUGAUGCUGUGGCACAAGCGUCGGCUGCGGAACCGCAACCCGUCUGCCAGUGCCCGUUUACGAGACUUCUCCCACCAACCUGCCAAUUAAGAUAAAUAUCUGCCGCUGUGCUUUAAAUUAUGGGCUGAGGCGUGAGACGGCGUGUUUUGACUUAGCCCAAGUUUGUCAGUCUCCCAGUGCAACAGAAUAAAAAUAGAAAGUGUGCGUCAAUGAAAACAUUACACAAAUCUACACGUAAAAUGCUGUACAUGAAGUGUCUAGAACAAAUAAAUUAGAUGUGACACUUAAGCUAGCUUGAAGGUAUCCCUCAGGCCGCCAUCUUUGUUGGUGAAUGGUUAAACACUUUGAUGAUUCAGCAUUUUAAUGUAACCAGAUUGUCACUAGGCUGUUUAGCAACUCCACAGAUUAUAACAAAUGUGUUUCUGCAUAUUUGGGUAAUUGUAGUAGUUUUCCACCAACAUGCAGUUAGCGUCAAUGCUAACAGUUGCUAGCAGGAGCACAAUCUUGGGCUUUUUUUGCCGUCACACUGCUAGAUGCUUGUUUAGUUUGUUUAUUUUUUUUCUCUUUUUGGAAACCUAUUCAUAUUUCAGGAUGAUACUACUCUGUGUGUAUGUACACUGGCCUUUGUGCAGGCUUGUUUUUCUUGCUUGACUCCCCUCCCCAGGCUAUACAGUAGUUUGGUUAACGUCGGCAUUUAUGCAGCAGGUGAGAAAACCAUUCAGUCGAGUUGUUUGUAUCUGUUGCAGGCUAUUUUUAGCGCCUGUGUGGUGAUUUUGUGCCUUUUCAUAGUUGCUCUGAGCCUCUUUGUGGUGGUUGCUACAGUCAAUGGACCCUGCAAGAUGCUGGUUGUGUGUUCAGGAUGUUAGAUCACAGUGGUUUGCGUCGUUUUGCUGGGGUGCUAAGACUUCUAUGGUUUCGUUGUGUUUUUUGUCCUUGAAAUCUAGGUCAUGUAAAAAUUACAUAUGCUUAAACAUCCUCUAAUGGUCAAUUCCAUGAGAUGUGUCUGAUUGAAGGUGAGAUGGUAAACCUUGCACCUGCAAGGUCUUUAUGGUCAUGGUAGCGUGCUGACAUUAGCAUUUAUGUCACUGCUCCAUUUUGCAGCUUUAAAUAGCCACUAGCAUGAUUGUA